rnacentral:rRNA from 1 species
UACGGAGGGUGCAAGCGUUAUCCGGAAUCAUUGGGUUUAAAGGGUCCGCAGGCGGAAAAAUAAGUCAGUUGGUGAAAUCUCACCAGCUCAACGUGUGAAACUGCCAUUGAUACUGUUUUCUUGAAUUCGAUCGAAGUGGGCGGAAUGUGACAUGUAGCGGUGAAAUGCUUAGAUAUGUCACAGAACACCGAUAGCGAAGGCAGCUCACUAGG